GCCUGGGGGGCUCAGUCGGUUGAGCGUCCGACUUCAGCUCAGGUCAUGAUCUCGCGGUUCGUGGGUUCGAGCCCCGCGUCGGGCU
rnacentral:tRNA from 1 species